rnacentral:misc_RNA from 1 species
AAACCCCAACGCCUACCCCCAUUCCGAUCCGAUUCCGCGAGGAACCAUCUUGUUCCUUGCAGAUAGAGAACAGAACAGAUCAUCCACACUCUCGCACACAGCUCUUUUACCUCACUCCUCACAAAUCUGCUCUGUUUAAUCAAUCCAGCAAUGAUUAUAUUCUGUCUCCUAUAAAGUUGCAAAAGCCAAAGGAACAGAGGAACAGCUUCAUAAAAAUUCAAAAUCAAAAAUUAUCAGGUGCUGAUUCUUAUCAUGUGCUUUUAGUCUUUGAAUCUGGUAAUAAUUAGGAAAAACUAUGAUGUUUCUCCAAUAACUCAUCACGGAACAAUGUGAAUUACCUUUCAAGAUACAUUAGAGGUAUUUGCUUUCCAUGUAAAUAGUAGCAGCAGUUUAUCUUUUGGGUUACUGUAGCACCGAAUUUGAAGAUAUGAAGGGGCGGUCACAUCGUCUCCAGAGUCAUGACCUGCACGAGGACUGGGUGGAUGGCUCCUGGACGGUGGAUUGCAUCUGUGGUGUUAAUUUCGAUGAUGGGGAAGAGAUGGUUAAUUGCGAUGAGUGUGGUGUUUGGGUGCACACACGUUGCUCCCGGUACGUGAAGGGAGAUGAGUUAUUUACUUGUGAUAAAUGCAAAAAUAAGAGCAACAAGGGUGACAGUGAGGAGACCGAGGUUGCUCAAUUGCUGGUUGAAUUGCCUACCAAAACUAUCCGACUAGAGAGUAGUUAUGCAGUAAAUGGGCCCUCACGCAGGUCUUUUAGGCUUUGGACAGAUAUACCAAUGGAAGAGAGAGUACAUGUUCAGGGCAUUCCAGGUGGUGAUCCUGCAUUGUUUUCUGGGUUGUCUUCUGUUUUUACACCUGAGUUGUGGAAUUGCACUGGGUAUGUGCCUAAAAGGUUUAAUUUUCAGUAUAGGGAGUUCCCAUGCUGGGAUGAGAAGGAGUGUGGUGAUAGCAGAAAUGAGGAAGAUAAUGGAAAUACUGUUGAUAAAGGUGCAGGUGUUUUGUUUUCAUUGGCCAAGGAGAGCCCUACAGCAGCUUUUGUUGGCGUGAAGGGGAGAGGUGAGGAAGGCAUUUUUGAUACGAAACAGUACUCAAAAGGAAGGAAAAAUUGGGUGAAUGAGGACAGUGAGGUUAGGCAUUCACAGAUUGGGGUUAAAAAGGAGAGAAGCUUACUUCGGCCAGUUGUAAUACACUCAAAUAAACGAAAGAAAGAGGAUUUAGGAACAUCCAAAGAACAAAGUGGAAAGAAGAAGGCUAGAGCUGCAUGCAAGGAGGUGGAUGCAAAGAAAGAUUCUCAUGUUUCUAGAACAGCAUUUACAUCCACCAGUGACGCAAAACCAUUGGAAUUUUAUGAAGACAGAGGUCCGAAGUCUAUCAAGAGUGAUGGCUGGAGUAUUAAGAACAAGAAACUGAGAGACUCCAUGAUUCAGGAACAUGAAUCAGAUUGUUAUGCUUCUGUGGGCAAUGGUGCAGAGAAGUCCAAGAACAGUGUGGCAGUGAUUGAGUGCUCCUCAGAAGCUUUAUCUACUGGCAUUUCUAGGCAUAAUUUUCCAACUGAAGUUGGACUGAAUGAAGGGAAAGUUAACCAUGAAAGUCUAGAAGCAUUUAAGAGUUCUCCCAAGUUAGAUAAUGUAGCUGCAUCGGUACAUGAACAAAGAGACGUUGGGACAAUCCCUGCAGAACAAGAGGGAGAUAAGAUGCCAAAUGGUAAUCUAGAUGAUACUAUAGAUGGUUCUGCUGGAAGUGAUGUUAAGCCUUCUACUGGUGAUCUGGCAACCACUGUUCCAGAAGUGGACAGUCAGAUUAAUUGGGAGCAUGGUAUGUACCUGAGUUCUAUGCAGCCUAAUUUUAAAGUAGAUGCAAAUGGUGAUAAUUCUAUGGUGAUCCUGAAUGGUCAUUCUUCAGUUGGUGAUGUGAAAGAUAUAGGGGUUUCUCAUGAUAACAUUACUGAAAAUUCAAAAAUGAAUAAUGCAGCAUUAAGUGUUUCACCAUCUGGUGACCACAAGGCUCAAGAGGUUGACGGAACUCCAGAAGCGAUCAGUGAUUGCCAUGCAGAUAAGGUGAAUGAAUUAACUAGUGAACCUUAUCAUAUUCAACAAGAAUUGGAGGUGUUUGAGGGUUUUUUCCCAUUGCAAAAAUGCCCGUCAGAACCUAAACUUGGUUCAACUUUUGGUGGAGGUGGAAUUAUCUCAAAUUUUGUAGCAUUACCCAGUAAGAAUAAAAUUGUUGUGUGUGUUCGAAAAUCAACUUCGACUUCAUCUGCUUUCAUGGUCUCCAAAUCCUCUGAUUGUGACAACUUUAGAUCUGUAGAUACUCUGGACACUAAUCCUAAUACGAAGCAGCAAGUAAUAUCUGAGUGCAAUUAUAAUAUGAAGAAAGAUCGAGCUGCAUGUGAUGUUGUUAAGGUCAAGGAUGAAGACAAUCAGGAUGUGUCAAGAAGAACAGUAAAUGAGCAUCCGAAAUCCUCUGUGAAUUCUGCUUCAAAACCAUCAAACUCGAGCAAAAUUUCACAUACAUCUGUUAUCAAAAGAACGGUCUCUGAUUCAAAAGAUUCUGCACUUCACUCAUCUUCUAAAACAUCUUCACUCCAGAAUUCCUGUGAGACUACAGGAUCUCCACAAAAUGAAUGUGCUUUACAGGUUCAAAAUAAGGCAUUGGCUUCAGGUUUACCUCUAAGAGGUGAAAAGUUUAAUCAUUGUAGCAGCCAGUCAUCAUCCAAGGCAAAUCAUGCAAUAUCUAUGAACCCUCCCCCUUCUAUUAAUUCUUCUGCAACUUUAAGUGAUGAAGAGCUUGCUUUGCUUCUGCACCAAGAACUCAAUAGUUCUCCUAGAGUUCCUCGUGUUCCUCGUGUUCGUCAUGCAGGCAGCUUACCUCAGUUGGCUUCUCCAACUGCAACAAGCCUGCUAAUAAAACGCACAUCUAGUUCUGGAGGAAGAGAUUCUAGUCUGGUUUCUAGAAGAAAGAAAAAGGAUGCAUCUAAAGAUGGGUUUUCCCGUUCUCAUGAACCUGAUGAUGAGGCUAAAAAGUGGGGGAGGGUACCAUCUUCACCCGAUCAGAAGAGACAAGAUACAGGAUGUACAGUUGAUGAGUUGUCCAAGAGAGAGGAUAAUGGAUCUCCAAUAGCUGUACAUUCUGUCAAGAAAGGCAUCCCUCCUGCCUCCGCCUCAACAGCAAACAGUGGCCCAUCUUCCUCUAGUGAGUUUAAUGACCAUCAUUUGUCAUCUCUACGUAACUCACCAAGAAAUACAUCUGAUGAGGAGACGGGCACUGUUCUGGGUCCUGCUCAUCACACUUUACCAGGCUUAAUCAAUGAGAUUAUGAGCAAAGGCAGGCGCAUGACAUACGAGGAACUCUGUAAUGCUGUCUUGCCGCACUGGCAUAACUUGAGGAAACAUAAUGGAGAACGUUAUGCAUAUUCAAGUCAUUCUCAGGCUGUUCUUGACUGCCUUAGGAACCGACACGAGUGGGCUCAGUUGGUGGAUCGCGGUCCCAAGACAAAUUCAAGUAGGAAGAGGCGAAAGCUUGAUGCUGAGGAAUCAGAAGAUAAUGACUGUGGCAAGGGAAGAAACGCAAGGGAAGGUGAAAGUAAAAGCCUUGAAUCACAAAGAGAUGAGUUUCCCAAGGGCAAACGGAAAGCAAGGAAACGAAGGCGUCUGGCACUGCAAGGAAGAGGAAUAAAAGAAAUUAGGAAGAGGCGGAAGGCAGAUUUGCUUACUGAUGAAGAUAGUGGGCCAUUUUCUAAUUCAAGUGAUGAGAGUUUGUUCAGUGAUGAUGAGAUUCCGGGUGGAGGAGCUGAGCCAGUUGGAACUGAGGCCUCAGCUAGCUCGGAUGAGACGGGGGCAAUGUAAUUUUUAAUAUUUGACUUUUUGGUUUAUGGUCUGUGUUUGUGAUUUCAGUAGGAAGCCAGGCUUCUCCUUUUUCUGCUGGGAAUCUGGAAUAGUUCUCUGUUACCAUAAGUUUUCACAACUCAUGGGAUUUUAGCAAGUUGACAAGUUGUGGCAUUCUCUGUUGUAUGAUCUUGGCUAAAAGAGUCCCUGUAGACUCAUUACCGUGUUAAGUCAGCCCUGUGAACCCAUGUAAUUAGUUGCAUAUUAUCGUUGACCAUCCUGAUGGUCAUUGGUGGUGAGCAGUUUUGCAGGCUGUGGCGUAUGGGGGCCAAGUUGUAAUAUUAGUGUACAUGUGUAAUUUUUGUACCAUUUUUGUAGAGAAAUAUAGUCAAUUAUCCAGUAGAUUUUGAAAAAUUUUAUAAAAACAGCAAGAUAUUGUUUUGCUUGUGUAGCUGUGAAUCUCUUCAAGGUAUAUGAUGAAGUCUAAUGUUU